rnacentral:rRNA from 2 species
GACUCUCGGCAACGGAUAUCUCGGCUCACGCAUCGAUGAAGAACGUAGCAAAAUGCGAUACUUGGUGUGAAUUGCAGAAUCCCGUGAACCAUCGAGUUUUUGAACGCAAGUUGCGCCCAAAGCCUUUCGGUCGAGGGCACGUCUGCCUGGGCGUCACAC